UAGGGAAUAUUAGAAAUGGACGAAAGUCUGAUCUAGCAACACCGCGUGUGCGAAGAAGGCCUUCGGGUCGUAAAGCACUUUUUGGAAGGAAUAGGAAGGAAUGUACUUCCAGAAUAAGUCUAGGCUAACUACGUGCCAGCAGCCGCGGUAACACGUAGGAGGCAAACGUUAUCCGGAUUUACUGGGCGUAAAGCGCGUGUAGGUGGUACGGUAAGUAGGGCGUGAAAGCUCCUGGCUCAACUUGGAGAGGCCGUUCUAAACUACAGAACUAGAGGAUGGUAGAGGUAGGUGGAAUUCCAGGUGUAGCGGUGGAAUGCGCAGAUAUCUGGAGGAACACCGGUGGCGAAGGCGGCCUCCUGGACCAUUCCUGACACUCAGACGCGAAAGCUAGGGUAGCAAACG
rnacentral:rRNA from 1 species